CCUGCCUGCCCGUGAAACUUUUAACGGCCGCGGUAUCCUAACCGUGCAAAGGUAGCGUAAUCACUUGUCUUCUAAAUAAAGACUCGUAUGAACGGCUAAAUGAGGACCUAACUGUCUCUUACGACCAAUUAAUGAAACUGAUCUUUCAGUCCAAAAGCUGAAAUAUAAACAUAAGACGAGAAGACCCUGUGGAGCUUUAACCAAGAUACUAUACCCACCACAUAUAUCUACACCUGUAAUAGUACCUCGUUUAAGUUGGGGCAACUAUGGAAAAAGAAAAACUUCCACAUUACCCUAGGGCAAACCCCCCUACCCCCCCCAGACCCACCUGUCAAACACUAAACACAUCGACCCAGUCCCACUGAUCAAUGAACCAAGUUACCCCAGGGAUAACAGCGCAAUCCCCUUUCAGAGUCCCUAUCGCCAAGGGGGCUUACGACCUCGAUGUUGGAUCAGGACACCCAAAUAGUGCAACAGCUAUUAAUGGUUCGUUUGUUCAACGAUUAACAGUCCU
rnacentral:rRNA from 1 species